rnacentral:rRNA from 1 species
AUUUGAUCCUCGGCGUCAGGAUGAACGCUGGCGGCGUGCUUAACACAUGCAAGUCGAGCGGAGCACAUCAUUGGAAUCCUCGGGAGGAAGAGGAUGUGGCUUAGCGGCGGACGGGUGAGUAACGCGUGGACAACCUGCCCUAUGCAGGGGGAUAACAUCCGGAAACGGGUGCUAAUACCGCAUAAGCGCACGGUACCGCAUGGUACGGUGUGAAAGGCUGAGGCGGCAUAGGAUGGGUCCGCGUUGGAUUAGGCAGUUGGCGGGGUAACGGCCCACCAAACCGACGAUCCAUAGCCGGCCUGAGAGGGUGGACGGCCACAUUGGGACUGAGACACGGCCCAGACUCCUACGGGAGGCAGCAGUGGGGAAUAUUGCACAAUGGGGGGAACCCUGAUGCAGCGACGCCGCGUGGGUGAGGAAGUACUUCGGUAUGUAAAGCCCUAUCAGCAGAGAAGAAAAUGACGGUACCUGACUAAGAAGCCCCGGCUAACUACGUG